UACCUAUAUUAUAUUGUAUGUUUUUUAGUUGCAUUAGUUCUAUAUAUUAUGCAAAUGAUCUACAUAUUUCUAAAGAUUUUUAUUUUACAAAAUAACAAUUUUGCAUGUUGAGUUAUUGGAUGAUUAUUAAUUAAAGAAUCACUUUAAUGGGUUCAUGUGAGGCAGCGGUGGUAGCAAUGAGCAUGUCAAAAAGGUACACAUGAAAUCCACUUUCGGCGACGAGAUUGCUACCUCUAUUUGCUCUGCGAUUUUGAGAGGCUUUCAUAUAGUCACUGUUGAACUUCAACAUGACGUCAGGAUAUUCAACAUGAAAUUCUCAGCGACAAACCUCAGUUUCAGCAUCUAAAGAAGCAGCUUAGGUAACGUUCAAUCUCAAGAAAAAUUUGAGAAUUAUUUGGAUUGUAAAGUUUGUUAUGGAUGGUUCAAUUUUAGGGCAUUUGAAGGCGAUUUGUCGGAGAUCAUCACGCUCUGCGAGGCGGAAAAUGUGGAGAAAAUCCUUGAGGAAAGUGCUUGUGCGCUAGGUUAGUGGUGCCGACUGUUUUUUGAUUGAUUGAUCAAUCGGUGGAUUCUACUGCUGUUUGUUCCUUUGCGGCUGAAUUUAACAGUUCGAAUGAUGAAUUUUGCAGCAAUUUUUCUUGCUCUAGCAGUCGGGCAAUUCCUCUGCAACGUCCGCGGAACUUUUACGCGUACGUAACCCUAACUUUCAACUUAAUCCACAGUUUCCGUUUUCAGUUCUUUCGAUUUUCAAUCGGCGGAAUGCAGUGAAAGAAUCGGCGUGGUUCUGUGAUUCAGCAGGUUAAUCAGCCACCGGUGAGCUCUGAACAUUUAAGAGCGACGUUCUCCCCCAAUUUGUCCCCACUGGCAAUCCCCUCCCUGAUUGAGGCCGCUCCGACUUUUUUCGACGAAAACCAACUUCCUCUGCUUUUUCGGGCAAGCUUUGACCAUUUAGGAGCAACGUUUCUCCCCAAUUCGUCUCCACAAGCAACUCGUUAGCAGAUUGAGGCCAUCCUGAGUUCCUUGAACGAAAGCCGUGUCAUCGGGUACGUGAUUUCAUCUUGGAAUCGAUAAUGGAUCGUCUCUGUUAACUUGAUCCUUUCGUCCUUCCCUGACCGACCUCCUUCUCGUUGAGAGAUUAGAUCGGCUCACUCGCGUCGUGAGGAUGGCACCACAUCGUCGUCUUCCAAUCUUCUUAUUUCCGAAGAAAAUACGAUCACUGAAAAUUUCAUCAACAUUUCACAGCAGAGUGCCUUCUUUCCCACCAAUCCCUAGAAAUCUCGUCGAUCGUUCCCGACGGAGAUUACGGCGAACCCUCGGAGUUGCCGGCCCUUUUCAGAUCCGAGAUCGACUGAAACUAUGGCGGAUAAGGAGAAUAUAUUUCGAUUCACUAGGGGCUCUAAGAAGAGGGCCGCCGACGCCGCUACCCCCGACGACCGCUCUGCCAACAAGAGGAGAGUCGUUCUUGGAGAGCUUCCUAUUUUACAGAAUGCUUCUUCUUCCUCCGAUCGUAAGUCCAAGUCUAGAGCCUCCAGGCACCGACGGAGAGUAAAAUCAAAGGAUACUGCCGGGACAAGUGCUGCUGCUGAAAUCAAUACACUCCCGGAAGGUGACGUCAAGUUAUCAGAUGAGGCCAAUUCUGAAGACCCGCAAAUGUGCAGGGUUUACGCCUCUGAUAUUUAUGAAUAUCUUCGAGCUAUGGAGACUGAUCCAAGAAGAAGACCCUUACCGGAUUACAUCGGGAGGGUACAAAAGGAUAUUAGUGCCAAUAUGAGGGGGAUUCUGGUGGAUUGGUUGGUUGAAGUUGCAGAAGAAUACAAACUAGUUUCAGAUACUCUUUACCUCUCUAUUUCAUAUGUAGACAGAUACUUAUCUCUAAAUGCAAUCAGCAGGCAAAAACUUCAGUUGGUGGGCGUUUCUGCCAUGCUCAUUGCCUCAAAGUAUGAAGAAAUCAGUCCUCCACAUGUUGAAGAGUUUGUUUAUAUCACAGACAAUACCUACAAUAGAGAAGAGGUGGUUGAGAUGGAGGCUGAAAUAUUGAAGUCACUGGAAUUUGAACUUGGAAAUCCCACAAUAAAGACAUUUUUAAGGAGAUUCACAUUGAUUGCUCAAGAGACUUAUGAGUUUAAUACUUUGCAAUUUGAAUUCUUGGGCUACUAUCUUGCUGAGUUAAGCCUACUAGACUACAACUGUGUCAAGUUCUUACCGUCUCUCAUUGCUGCAUCUGUUAUAUUUCUAGCACGAUUUAUGAUCCAAUCUAAGAAGCAUCCUUGGGUUGGAGCAUUUUACUGGAUAUAAGCCCGCUGAUAUGAAGGAUUGCGUUCUACUUGUACAUGAUUUAUACCUUAGUAGAAGAGGAGGCGCUUUGGCAGCUAUAAGGGAGAAAUACAAACAACAUAAGUUCAAAUUUGUGUCUGUCAUGCCUUCACCUCCAGAAAUUCCUAUUCCAUAUUUUGAAGAUGUUAGAAUAUGAAUGUACAAGAUGACAAUAAUAGUUAGGAACUUACGAUAUGGGAGUGAAUAGAAAUUUAUAUUAGAUAGGAAUCUGAAUUCCAGAGGCAUGGUUCAGUUUCAAUCUGCACAAGCUCUAUAAGGCAUUAGCUGAUGGGCGAGUGUCCACUUGGAAUGGAACAUUUUUGUGCACUGGAAGGCGAGCCAAAGCUUGAAGGCCAAGCUGGCAUAUUUUCCCACAACAUUUAUUGCAUUUUCUUCCCUUGUAAAGAUUUCUUUUGAAAAACAGUAACCCCAAUGUGGCUCACUUCUUAGAUUUUAGGGUGUGUUUAGUACUGUACAAAAUUCAGCAAUGCACAUCAUGCAUUGGGCCGGAAGCCCAGUUGAAAGCAUAGAGUUCUCAUAUAUAUAUAUAUAUUUUUUCUUUUU